UUUGAAGCCUCACUUGCGUGGAAGACGAUUUGCCAAUGAUGAACUCAAGGCUACAACAGAAGCUUGGUUUUGGGACCAGUCAAAAGACUUCUAUUUCCAGGGUAUUACCAGCUUGCAGCACAAAUGGGUAAAGUGUAUUGAACUGAAGGGAAACUAUAG